UUAGAGCAUAUAAUUUACUUUGGGCUGUUGUUUCCUUUCUUUUAAUUUAAAAAUUAGUUCUUUAUCAUAGUAGAUUUUGCUAUGGAUUAUAUGGCCAAUGGCAAUAAGNUGGUUAGUGUGAUUUUCAUUAGCACAUUAGCAUAUUAUCAAAUUAGCACAUUAUUUAGAUCCGUAGCUCAGCCUGGUUAGAGCACUACACUGAUAAUGUAGGGGUCUCCAGUUCAAAUCUGGACGGGUCUACUUUUUUAAAUUAGCAAUUAGCAAUUUAACUAAUUAGCUAAUUCUCUUUGGGGGGUUAGCUCAGUUGGCUAGAGCAUCUGCCUUGCACGCAGAGGGUCAUCGGUUCGACUCCGAUAUCCUCCACAAAUAAAUAGUUCUGUUUUCAAAUUUUUAGAUAACUCAUUUGGGAGUUUAGUUGGUUCAAAUCCACUUUAUCUGCAACUCAUCUGCAUUUGUGCAAAUGUUUAAGUUCUUUGACAUAUUGGGAAAUAAUAAGUUGUAAACGAGUAACAAUUUAAUAAGUGAGGAGACUCACUUUAAAUAUAUCUAAAUUU
rnacentral:tRNA from 1 species